UGGGUGACCUGCCCCCUACUCUGGGAUAAGCCUGGGAAACUGGGUCUAAUACCGGAUAUGACACAGUCCUGCAUGGGGUUGUGUGGAAAGUGUGUUCUUAAUUGGGCAUCUCGGUGGGGGAUGGGCCCGCGGCCUAUCAGCUUGUUGGUGGGGUGAUGGCCUACCAAGGCGACGACGGGUAGCCGGCCUGAGAGGGUGUCCGGCCACACUGGGACUGAGAUACGGCCCAGACUCCUAGGAGG
rnacentral:rRNA from 1 species